UGGGUAAAUGGAUGGCAGAUAUAUCAAGAUGUUUGGCUCUGGCACAAAGCUCAUCGUCACAGAUAAAGACCUUGAUGGAGAUGUUUCCCCAAAGCCCACUAUUUUUCUCCCAUCAAUUGCUGAAACAAAUCUCCAUAAGGCUGGAACUCAUGUUUGUCUUCUUGAGAAUUUUUUCCCUGAUGUUAUUAGUGUAUAUUGGAAAGAAAAGAAUGGCAAUAAGAUCCUGGAAUCCCAGCAGGGAGAUACCAUGAAGACUGGCAGCACAUAUAUGAAACUUAGCUGGCUAACUGUGCCUGAAACGUCACUGGAUAAAGAGCACCUGUGCGUCGUCAAACACGAUAAUAACAAAGGAGGAGCUGAUCAAGAGAUUCUCUUUCCUCCAGUAAAGAAAGGAUUGUCAUAUGAAUUAUAUGAAACAACAUACCCAACAGCACCUAGCAACCUAGGACAUGUUGUCACUGCUAUUCCUUGUGUGCAAGAUGAAAAUGAUGAACUGUGGCUGCAGCUCACGAAUACCUCUGUGUACUACACUUACCUCCUCCUGCUCCUCAAGAGUGUGGUCUAUUUUGGGAUCAUCGCCUUCUGUCUGGUCAGAAGAACAGCUGUCUGCUGCAGUGGGAAGAGACCCUAAGAGAUCAUGGCACAAUAGGUUCAUCUUCUCUUCAUUGUUUAUAGUCCCAAAAAGUGUCUGCUGAGGAUCUAGCUGGGUUUCCUUUCUGGAUUUGGGCUAUUUCAGCUUCUGUGUGUAUUAUUCUAUGAUGUUAUUAUUUUGUGGUGGUUUUUCAAACCAGUGGGCAAACAGAAAACUUCAUCCUGUAACAACAGUGAGUUGCCCAGGGCAUCCUUUAGCACAAUUCUCUCCACAGUCUCCACCAGCGCCUCCACCCACCCCAGGUCAUCACAGCCUUAGUGUAGACAGCAGGCAGCUUCUAGCCUCCCCCCUCAGUGCCCUCCAGCCAGUUAACUGCCAGAAAGCCUUCCCUUUACACGCCCUGAAGCAACCUUGUUUGUGCUGGAAUGCUGUGCUUUGUUUUUUAUAAUAUGCACAAUAAAGUUAAACAAUGAGAAGUC